ACUCCUACGGGAGGCAGCAGUGGGGAAUCUUGCGCAAUGGCCGAAAGGCUGACGCAGCGACGCCGCGUGGAGGAUGACGCCCUUCGGGGUGUAAACUCCUGUUGCCCGGGACGAAUACCCGUUUCGACGGGGGUGACGGUACCGGGUGAGGAAGCACCGGCUAACUCUGUGCCAGCAGCCGCGGUAAUACAGAGGGUGCGAGCGUUGUCCGGAAUCACUGGGCGUAAAGGGCGCGUAGGCGGCUGGGUAAGCGUGUGGUGAAAGCCCGGGGCUCAACCCCGGGUCGGCCAUGCGAACUGUCCAGCUGGAGCACGGUAGAGGCACAUGGAAUUCCGGGUGUAGCGGUGGAAUGCGUAGAGAUCCGGAAGAACACCGGUGGCGAAGGCGGUGUGCUGGGCCGUGGCUGACGCUGAGGCGCGACAGCGUGGGGAGCAAACAGGAUUAGAUACCCUGGUAGUC
rnacentral:rRNA from 1 species